GAUGAACGCUGGCGGCGUGCCUAAUACAUGCAAGUCGAGCGAACGGACGAGAAGCUUGCUUCUCUGAUGUUAGCGGCGGACGGGUGAGUAAAACGUGGAUAACCUACCUAUAAGACUGGGAUAACUUCGGGAAACCGUAGCUAGUACCGGAUAAUAUUUUGAACCGCAUGGUUCAAAAGUGAAAGACGGUCUUGCUGUCACUUAUAGAUGGAUCCGCGCUGCAUUAGCUAGUUGGUAAGGUAACGGCUUACCAAGGCAACGAUGCCUAGCCGACCCGAGAGGGUGAACGGCCACACUGGAACUGAGACACGGUCCAGACUCCUACGGGAGGCAGCAGUAGGGAAGCGUCCGAGAUGGGCGAAAGCCUGACGGAGCAACGCCGCGUGAGUGAUGAAGGGCUGCGGAUCGUAAAACUCUGUUAUUAGGGAAGAACAUAUGUGUAAGUAACUGUGCACAUCUUGACGGUACCUAAUCAGAAAGCCCCGGCUAACUACGUG
rnacentral:rRNA from 1 species